GACGAACGCUGGCGGCGUGCUUAACACAUGCAAGUCGAACGGAAAGGCCCUGCUUUUGUGGGGUGCUCGAGUGGCGAACGGGUGAGUAACACGUGAGUAACCUGCCCUUGACUUUGGGAUAACUUCAGGAAACUGGGGCUAAUACCGGAUAGGAGCUCCUGCUGCAUGGUGGGGGUUGGAAAGUUUCGGCGGUUGGGGAUGGACUCGCGGCUUAUCAGCUUGUUGGUGGGGUAGUGGCUUACCAAGACUUUGACGGGUAGCCGGCCUGAGAGGGUAACCGGCCACAUUGGGACUGAGAUACGGCCCAGACUCCUACGGGAGGCAGCAGUGGGGAAUAUUGCACAAUGGGCGGAAGCCUGAUGCAGCAACGCCGCGUGCGGGAUGACGGCCUUCGGGUUGUAAACCGCUUUCGCCUGUGACGAAGCGUGAGUGACGGUAAUGGGUAAAGAAGCACCGGCUAACUACGUG
rnacentral:rRNA from 1 species